UGCUUUUUUUUUUCUACUUCUAAAUUUUUAUUUACGGUGCUUUAAAAUUCGUGCAAAGUAAAAUUUAAUAGCAUAAAUGAUAUGGCAGAAUUAAAAAGAAUUUACUCUAUAUCGUCUUAAAAUUUGUGCAAAAAUAUAAAAUAAAAAAUAGUAUAAAUAAUAUCAAAAGAGGAAUCUAAUAAAAGAAUAUAUAGAUAAUUAUUUAUUUCCAUAUCUCACUACUACAACUGCAAUAAAAUAUUAAUUAUAUAAGAUAUUUAAAAAUACCUACUCACAUUUCUCAAAUUUUUUUUUACUAAAAAUAAAGUUUAA
rnacentral:lncRNA from 1 species